AGGACACUCUAUACGGAGUUACAAAGGACGACAUUAGACGAAUCAUCUGGAAAGAUGAAUCAAAGAAGGUAAUAAUCCUGUAGUCGAAAAUGUUGUCUCUCUUGAGUGGAUCCUGAGUACGACGGAGCACGUGAAAUUCCGUCGGAAUCUGGGAGGACCAUCUCCUAAGGCUAAAUACUCUCUAGUGACCGAUAGUGAACCAGUACCGUGAGGGAAAGGUGAAAAGCACCCCGGAAGGGGAGUGAAAUAGAACCUGAAACCGUGUGCUUACAAGUAGUCAGAGCCCGUUAAUGGGUGAUGGCGUGCCUUUUGUAGAAUGAACCGGCGAGUUACGAUUUGAUGCAAGGUUAAGCAGUAAAUGUGGAGCCGUAGCGAAAGCGAGUCUGAAUAGGGCGUUUAGUAUUUGGUCGUAGACCCGAAACCAGGUGAUCUACCCUUGGUCAGGUUGAAGUUCAGGUAACACUGAAUGGAGGACCGAACCGACUUACGUUGAAAAGUGAGCGGAUGAACUGAGGGUAGCGGAGAAAUUCCAAUCGAACCUGGAGAUAGCUGGUUCUCUCCGAAAUAGCUUUAGGGCUAGCCUCAAGUGAUGAUUAUUGGAGGUAGAGCACUGUUUGGACGAGGGGCCCCUCUCGGGUUACCGAAUUCAGACAAACUCCGAAUGCCAAUUAAUUUAACUUGGGAGUCAGAACAUGGGUGAUAAGGUCCGUGUUCGAAAGGGAAACAGCCCAGACCACCAGCUAAGGUCCCAAAAUAUAUGUUAAGUGGAAAAGGAUGUGGCGUUGCCCAGACAACUAGGAUGUUGGCUUAGAAGCAGCCAUCAUUUAAAGAGUGCGUAAUAGCUCACUAGUCGAGUGACACUGCGCCGAAAAUGUACCGGGGCUAAACAUAUUACCGAAGCUGUGGAUUGUCCUUUGGACAAUGGUAGGAGAGCGUUCUAAGGGCGUUGAAGCAUGAUCGUAAGGACAUGUGGAGCGCUUAGAAGUGAGAAUGCCGGUGUGAGUAGCGAAAGACGGGUGAGAAUCCCGUCCACCGAUUGACUAAGGUUUCCAGAGGAAGGCUCGUCCGCUCUGGGUUAGUCGGGUCCUAAGCUGAGGCCGACAGGCGUAGGCGAUGGAUAACAGGUUGAUAUUCCUGUACCACCUAUAAUCGUUUUAAUCGAUGGGGGGACGCAGUAGGAUAGGCGAAGCGUGCGAUUGGAUUGCACGUCUAAGCAGUAAGGCUGAGUAUUAGGCAAAUCCGGUACUC
rnacentral:rRNA from 1 species